GGGGCUCGAACUCACGGACCGCGAGAUCGUGACCUGGCUGAAGUUGGACGCUCAACCGACUGCGCCACCCAGGCGCCCCUGAAUCUGUUAUUAAAAACCUCUCAUGUAGGAAACUGCUUGCCCACAUGCUUCACUGGUGAAUUCUACCAUAUGAACAGAUGUACAUGACUAUUUACUGUAGCUUUAUUUGUAAAUAAAUAAAUUUAUAAGUAAAUUUCUAGCCAAACACUGGAAAUAAUCCACAUGUCCACCAACAAGUAAAUGAAUAAAGAAUGAUAUAUCCAUAUAAUGGGAUACUCAGCAAUGUAAAGGAAUAAACUAUUGAUACAUGAUACAAUACUAUUAAUCUGACAGUAAUUAUGCUGAGUGAAAGAAGCUUGAUAAAAAGAGUAUACACAUUACAGUCAAUUCUUGUUAUUCACGGUAGUUAUGUUCUGUGAAGUUACCAUGAACACUGAAUUAGCAAAUACUGAACUACUGCUCUUAGAGGAAAUACAGGGUGAGGUUCCUGCCAGCCUCUGGUCACAACAUUUUCAUCAACUGAUCAACACAUAACCCUGUUUUAUAUGUGUGUCUGUUUAAAGACACCUUAUUUAAUAUACAUUGUUGAUUCAUUAGUGUUCAACUCUUAGCCAAAAGCACUAGAACGCAUGCCUGAAGGAAGCUUUUCUAACAUAUGUAUUUCCACUGUAAGGCACUUCACAGCCUUCUUGUACUUAGAAUCAUCAGCACUUCAGUAGGACACUUGUGAGCCAUUUUAACAGCAAAAUCCCCAACACAAAGCACAAAAAAUGUGAAUACAUGGCCUUAAAAAGACCACGGAAAGGACACUUGUUUAUAGCAUGAGAGCCAAGUAGGAACAAGUACGAGAAACAAGGCUGUGUUGCCUUGUUCGACCUCAGCUGGGAACAAGGGUGUUACCAACCGAAAUUUUUUGCCACUCUUUGCAUGUCUGUGAAUGAAUGAGAAAAUUCUGCGAGUGUUGAUUUUGGAGUUAUCAAAAAAUUUUAGUGAGUAUGUAAAUUUGCAAAUAUGCACUCUGAAUAAUGAGCAUUGACUGUAUAUAAUUUGCUUAUAAAAAAUUUUAGAAAAUAUGUACAAAAUCUAGAGUGAAAGAAAGCAGAUCAGUGGUUGCCCUGGGGACGGGAUGGGGGUAAGGAGGGAGGAAUUACAAAGACACAGGAGACUUUGGAGGGUGAUGGGUUCAUUAUAUUGACUGUGGUCAUUCUUUCACAGGUGUACACAAUGCAAAACCUACCAAAUUGUAAUUUUAACCAUGUGCCAUUUAUCCUGUGUCAUAAUAACUCAAAAAAGCUGUGAAGAGGAUGAAAAGGCCACGAUGGUGGGAAGGAGAAGAGGAAAGAGACAUUUAUUAAGUUUACCCAUGAGGAAUUGCUACACAAGGAGUGAAGGAGAGUGAAUUCAAGAGAUCAAAGUUUAUGUGACAGGUCACUUUUCUGGGCGGCCAUAUAAACCUCAAGCAGAAAGCAGUGGGGUGCAGCAGAGGCCAACGGCUCUGUCAUGCAAUGGCCCGAGAUUUAUGGAUCUGAUAUAUCUGAAGACACAUACUACGGGAAGGGUGCCUAUACCUCCAAUGGAAACAGAAAAAGCAGAAAGCUGAGAUCAUGGCUUCCCAGGCCUUGAAAGGGCUACUGGCAGCCAAGGGCAUUUGGCUCAACCUAGGCUUGACAGAAAAGGAAGAUGCACUGGAUGCUACAAAGGGAAUGAAAUGAAAGCAUCAAAACAUAUAAUUUACCACAUGAAAGAUGGUACUUAGAGUUUGCCAGAACUACUAACUCUACCAGCAGAUGGAAAGAUCAGUCUUAUUACAGGCAGAAGCCUACUGGACACACAGCACAAAAAGAUGGCUUGUAAACACGAGAUGGAUUUUUUUCUUUUUUCUUUUUUUUUUUUUUUUUUAAGUAACCUCUACACCCAAUGUGGGACUCGAACUCAUGACCCUGAGAUCAAGAGUUGCAUGUUCUACUGACUGAGCCAGCCAGGCGCCUCAAGAAAUGAGAUGGGUUUUCUUAUGGCUUGGAAAAUGACUCUACAGGAGGCAUAAACUCUGAAAUGCAUAUUUGAAACCACUCUUAAUGCUUUACACUCCUACUUCAUAGAAUAAAUCCAUGAGGUAGUUUUCCUGGAGCAACUUUUUGAAAAGAUGAAUGCAGAAGGAUAAAAGGAAGGGUAGACUUCACAGACUGUUUUCAGAACAUCAGCUGUUCCCUCAAAGGCAAGAACUCUGUUUUUCUUUCUCUGUGCCCACAAUAUCUAGAAUAUAUCUUAAACACAGUAGGCGCUCGCCUCUUCCAUUGCUUUUCAGAAAUAAGUGAAGAACUAAGCUGUAAAUGAGUAAGAGACACUGAUUAGAUGUCUGUUGCUGUAUAUGGCAGGCAAACCAUCCCUGACAGAUGGCUGUCUCCUCUGGUUACUAGUAUAAGAACUGGCUCAUGGGGUGGAGCUAAAAGGCACGAGGCAGUAAAUCUAAUGAAAACCAGGCCCACAUUUCCAUCCGUAUUAUAUAUGCAAGGGAAAUGCUGAGUGAUACUUGUACUUUAUCAUCUUAGCAAUGGGAUUUAGGGUAAGAAUGAUGAAGAUCAGUGGUCAAAACAGGAAGAAGCUCAAAAGGAGCUGGGAGGGGAAGAAUAAUGUAGAUAUAAAUAAAAAAAAAUUCUGUAUCAAAUGACAGCAGGGGUUAUCUAUCUUUCUUACCAACGUGUUCUCCUAACGGGGUUUGUUCCUAAGUAAUCUACCCUAAAUAGAAUUUAAAAAACUGAAUUCUGUGAAAAGAUAACUUCUUUCCAAGUGAAAUUUCCUUAAAGGCUCACAAACAGAAAUCAGCAUGGGGCUGUCAAUCAGAAACGGAAGCGCCGUUAGCGAUCUGUGGUCCAAACACACCAAGUACCAAGUGAACUGCCACCAGACAGGCUUGAAGUGAGGUCGAGUGGGAAGCCCAGUGGGGGAGCCAUCUGUCCCCCUUUCUUCAGUAGGUAGAACAGGAGGACAUCUCCCUCCAGGGCUGUCGAUCUGGCACUUCCCGCCUUAGCAGUGAAUCUCUGUGGAAGGAACCAUCACUCGUGUGGUUUUAUGGUGCACUCACAAGAGGGGUAGUCGGGUUCAGAGAAAUCCAGUAACUGUUGAUCUUGAGAAUCUGGGCAGCCAUCUUUUUUACGUUCUCCAAGUUUAUAAUCCAUCAGCUCUAGCUCUUUCUGUUGGAGAUGUGCCAUCUGCUCCUCAUAUUUCUGCUCCUCUCCCAGUCUCUGGAGGCUCCUCAGGGUUUUUGGCAGGCUGUGCCGUCCAUGCCAGCCAUACUGAUUCUUGGCCACCCGGCUGACCAGAUGCAGUGAUUCCAGCACAUUUACAAUGUCAUAGAUACGUCUCCUUUCAACGCCUGUUUGAAAAACAGAAGUCGACAAUCAUGCAGGCAAACAUUUUUGAGUAAAGAUUCCUUGAGGGCCUGGACCAUGUCUGUAAGCUACUCUACAUGCUGCCCAGGGCAAUGCACAGCAAGGGUGGAUGCUCUACAAACCAAACCUGUAAGGAUGUUCUUGGGAUCCAACCCUUAAAAGAGCGAGGGUAAAAAACAUCCACCCAGAGAUGGAGGAUAGUUGCAUCUCUGUUACGUCAACACUAGUAUGUCUCUUCUUUAGACCCGUUAGGUAAACCACGUGAACACCUCAGCACGUUAAAACAGGUGGGAUUGAGCAACACGUGUACCAGUAUGUCUAAUGGACACCUGAUGAAUGCUGUUUGGUUGAUUUUGACUUCUACUCCUAAUUAUGCAGACUGUAAAAUAAACUGUGUCCAACGCGUGACACCUCA